rnacentral:rRNA from 1 species
UACGUACCGUCCAAACGUUAUUCGGAAUUACUGGGCUUAAAGGGUUUGUAGGCGGCGCUGUUAGUCGGGUGUGAAAUCCCAGGGCUCAACCCUGGAACUGCGCCCGAUACUGCAGUGCUUGAGGGAGACAGAGGUAAGCGGAACUGAUGGUGGAGCGGUGAAAUGCGUUGAUAUCAUCAGGAACACCGGUGGCGAAAGCGGCU